GAUUAACGCUGGCGGCGUGCCUAACACAUGCAAGUCGAGCGGCAGCGAGUUUUACACUGAAUUCUGGAAACUUCUGGUAUAAAUAGAAGAGUUAUUCAAGAAUUUUGUGUAAAAUGUCGGCGAGCGGCGGACGGCUGAGUAACGCGUGGGAAUGUACCCCAAAGUGAGGGAUAACGCACCGAAAGGUGUGCUAAUACCGCAUAUGAUCUUCGGAUUAAAGCCUUCGGGCGCUUUGGGAACAGCCCGCGUCAGAUUAGAUAGUUGGUGAGGUAAUGGCUCACCAAGUCGACGAUCUGUAACUGGUUUGAGAGGAUGAUCAGUCAGACUGGAACUGAGACACGGUCCAGACUCCUACGGGAGGCAGCAGUGAGGAAUCUUCCACAAUGGGCGAAAGCCUGAUGGAGCAACGCCGCGUGCAGGAUGAAGGCCUUCGGGUUGUAAACUGCUUUUAUAAGUGAGGAUUAUGACAGUAACUUAUGAAUAAGGAUCGGCUAACUACGUGCCAGCAGCCGCGGUCAUACGUAGGAUCCGAGCGUUAUCCGGAGUGACUGGGCGUAAAGAGUUGCGUAGGUGGUUUAAUAAGCGAAUAGUGAAAUCUGGUGGCUCAACCAUUCAGACUAUUAUUCGAACUGUUGAACUCGAGAGCAGAAGAGGUAGCUGGAAUUUCUAGUGUAGGAGUGAAAUCCGUAGAUAUUAGAAGGAACACCGAUGGCGUAGGCAGGCUACUGGGCUGUUUCUGACACUGAGGCACGAAAGCGUGGGGAGCGAACCGGAUUAGAUACCCGGGUAGUCCACGCCGUAAACGAUGGAUACUAGCUGUUUGGGGUAUCGACCCCCUGAGUAGCGAAGCUAACGCGUUAAGUAUCCCGCCUGUGGAGUACGAUCGCAAGAUUAAAACAUAAAGGAAUUGACGGGGACCCGCACAAGCGGUGGAUCAUGUUCUUUAAUUCGAUGAUAACCGAUAAACCUUACCAGGUCUUGACAUCCUUGGAAUCUUUCAGAAAUGAGAGAGUGCUUUUUAAGAGCCAAGUGACAGGUGAUGCAUGGCCGUCGUCAGCUCGUGUCGUGAGAUGUUUGGUUAAGUCCAUCAACGAGCGCAACCCUUGUGAAUAGUUGUAUUUUUCUAUUCAGACUGCCCCGGCAACGGGGAGGAAGGAGGGGAUGACGUCAGGUCAGUAUUUCCCUUACGUCCUGGGCUAGAAACGUGAUACAAUGGCUAGUACAAUGCGCAGCGAAGCCGCGAGGUGAAGCAAAUCGCAUCAAAGCUAGUCCCAGUUCGGAUUGUAGGCUGAAACUCGCCUGCAUGAAGUCGGAAUCGCUAGUAAUCGCAGAUCAGCAUGCUGCGGUGAAUACGUUCCCGGGUCU
rnacentral:rRNA from 1 species